rnacentral:rRNA from 1 species
GACGAACGCUGGCGGCGUGCUUAACACAUGCAAGUCGAGCGGUAAGGCCUUUCGGGGUACACGAGCGGCGAACGGGUGAGUAACACGUGGGUGAUCUGCCCUGCACUUCGGGAUAAGCCUGGGAAACUGGGUCUAAUACCGGAUAUGACCUCCUAUCGCAUGGUGGGUGGUGGAAAGAUUUAUCGGUGCAGGAUGGGCCCGCGGCCUAUCAGCUUGUUGGUGGGGUAAUGGCCUACCAAGGCGACGACGGGUAGCCGACCUGAGAGGGUGACCGGCCACAGUGGGACUGAGACACGGCCCAGACUCCGGCGGGAGGCAGCAGUGGGGAAUAUUGCACAAUGGGCGAAAGCCUGAUGCAGCGACGCCGCGUGAGGGAUGACGGCCUUCGGGUUGUAAACCUCUUUCAGCAGGGACGAAGCGCAAGUGACGGUACCUGCAGAAGAAGCACCGGCUAACUACGUG